AAACUGAAGAGUUUGAUCAUGGCUCAGAUUGAACGCUGGCGGCAGGCCUAACACAUGCAAGUCGAGCGGUAACAGGGGGUGCUUGCACCCCGCUGACGAGCGGCGGACGGGUGAGUAAUGCAUAGGAAUCUGCCCGGUAGUGGGGGAUAACCUGGGGAAACCCAGGCUAAUACCGCAUACGUCCUACGGGAGAAAGGGG
rnacentral:rRNA from 1 species